rnacentral:misc_RNA from 1 species
GGCUGAUGCAUGGUCAUUGUUUUUCUGUAGGUAUUGACAGCAUGAGCAGUCGCGACGGCUGGGUGCCGUUGGCGGCGGGCGUGUUGGUCGGCGCUGGGCUGUUGGCGCUGCUGUACAGGAUGCUGAGCCAACGCAACGCUUACGGCCGAACCAAGCACAACUACAACUACGGCGCUACCGCUUAUCUCUGCUCGUGCGAUAAGGGUGGGCCUGCCCUGUUCUGCAGAAUUGGAAAGUAAAUCUUCGCGCCCCAUUCCGUCGCUACAGUCCGAAGCAUCAUCCCUAAGUGCUUGCGAGUGGAUGGGCUGGCCCUCUAGGAGCUCAGCCUCCUCGCAGGGUGGGGAGGGAAGACCUAAGACCUGGAUGUCGAUAACGGUGUUAGGAUUGGGAGGCACUACUUUGACCCUAUUUGCCCUAUUCUAUAAGUUCAAAGACAAGAUUAAAACGUUGAUAUGGGGCAAUCCAAGCGACUCUUGUAACGGGCUCGGAAGGAAAACGAAACAAGUGCGAGAAAAGAACAAGCUGUGUGUUUGUUAAUAAAAAGGAAAACCAAAAUUAACAAUUGCAUUUCGUAACAUUUGUUUACAAAAUACUCAAUUAAAGGUUAUUAGAUUUAGG